UGGGGAAUAUUGCACAAUGGGGGAAACCCUGAUGCAGCGACGCCGCGUGAGCGAUGAAGGCUUUCGAGUCGUAAAGCUCUGUCCUAUGGGAAGAUAAUGACGGUACCAUAGAAGAAAGCCCCGGCUAAUUACGUGCCAGCAGCCGCGGUAAUACGUAAGGGGCGAGCGUUGUCCGGAAUUAUUGGGCGUAAAGAGUGCGUAGGCGACAAAUUAAGUCAGAUGUGAAAACUAAGGGCUCAACCCAUAGAUUGCAUCUGAAACUGAUAUGCUUGAGUCAAGGAGAGGAAAGUGGAAUUCCUAGUGUAGCGGUGGAAUGCGUAGAUAUUAGGAGGAAUACCGGUGGCGAAGGCGACUUUCUGGACUUGAACUGACGCUGAGGCACGAAAGCGUGGGGAGCAAACAGG
rnacentral:rRNA from 2 species